GCAUCCCCAUGUGGUUCGUUAUUUCUCUGCCUGGGCAGAAGAUGACCAUAUGCUUAUACAGAAUGAAUACUGUAAUGGUGGGAGUUUAGCUGACGCUGUAAGUGAGAACUACAGAGUCAUGAGCUACUUUACUGAAGCAGAGCUGAAGGAUCUCCUUUUGCAAGUUGGCAGGGGCUUGAGAUACAUACAUUCAAUGUCUUUGGUUCACAUGGAUAUAAAACCUAGUAAUAUUUUUAUAUCUCGAACCUCAAUCCCAAAUGCAGUCUCUGAAGAAGGAGAUGAAGAUGACUGGAUAUCCAACAAAGUUAUGUUUAAAAUAGGUGAUCUUGGGCAUGUAACAAGAAUCUCUAGUCCACAAGUUGAAGAAGGUGAUAGUCGUUUUCUAGCAAAUGAAGUUUUACAAGAGGUAAUUUCUUCCUCCUUGGGUUAUAGUAUUUGCUUGGUACCAGUUGACAGAAGACUGAAUUCUAAUAUGUUGAAAAUUAAUUAACUAGUAAACUAAAAGUAAAAAGUCUAAACCUAUUUCUGAUGGCAUUGAAAGUUGUUGCAUUCACUACCAGUGGAACUUCAAAGU
rnacentral:lncRNA from 1 species